AGCCGUACCUCAUAGCUAACUGAUGUUCUCACUAAGGUGUACUGUCUUUAACUUAAAGAACUGUUGAAAUAUGAUUUAACUAUUUUUAAUUUCUGAUAAUAUGGUAUGCAUAUUUUACAAGAGUUGCAACUUGACAAAGCUCGUUUCCCAUGACAACGUCAUUUGAUCAAGAAAAUCCGUUCGCUGAGUUGACCGUUGAAUUGAAGGUGGAUCACAACUAUGAUAUCUGGAACGUUGAACAUUUUCCUGAAACUGAAACUAUUUUGCCUGAAUUGAUAAAAAGCUACGGCCAAU